GGGAUGGUGGUGAAGUAGAUGGUGGAGGUGGUGACUUGUAUACAUAUGGUGGGGGAGGAGAGGGAGAUGGAGGAGGUGGUGACUUAUAUAGAUAUGGUGGAGGGGAUGGUGGGGGUGGAGAUUUGUAAACAUAUGGAGGUGGUGGGGAUGGAGAUGGAGGAGGUGGUGCCUUAUAGACAUAUGGAGGAGGGGUAGGGGAUGGAGGUGGCGGUGGCGGUGGCUCAUAAACAUACGGUGGGGGAGGAGAGGGUGAUGGUGGAGGAAGAGACUUAUAUACAUAUGGUGGAGGGGGUGAGUGUGACGGUGGUGGUGGGGACUUGUAGACAUAAGGUGAAGGAGGGGAAGGGGAUGGAGGUGGUGGUGAUUUGUAAACAGAGGGUGAGGGUGGGGGAGUUGGGGGUGAUGGUGGAGGAGUUGGGGGUGAUGGUGGAGGAGGAGACUUGUAGACAUAUGGAGGUGGUGGUGAUGGAGAAGGUAGAGGAGGACUCUUGUAGACAUAUGGUGGGGGAGGUGAAGGAGAUGGAGGAGGUGGUGACUUGUAGACAUAUGGAGGUGGAGGUGAGGGAGAUGGUGGUGGUGGACUCUUAUAGACAUAUGGUGGGGGAGGGAAAGGAGACGGAGGAGGUGGUGAUUUGUAGACAUGUGGAGGCGGAGGAGAGAGAGAUGGAGGUGGUGGGGACUUGUACACAUAUGGAGGAGGUGGUGAGGGAGAUGGUGGUGGAGGAGACUUAUAGACAUAAGGUGGUGGUGGUGAUGGGGAUCGUGGAGGUGGAUAUAUGUAGUAAUAAGGUGGGUAUUUGCAGACAUAGGGAGGUGGAGGUGAUAGAGAUGGCGGAGGUGGGAACUUGUAGUAAUAUGGAGGUGAUUUGGAAUAAUAUGGUGCCUGCUGUCCAUGACUUGGACUAAUAUAGAUGAGUUGAGGCAAAUGCCUCAACCCAAAUGAGGUUCCCAUCUUUUUUAAGAAUGUGUAUUUCUGUACUCAGUUCCUUGGAAGAGUGAUAGCUAGUUACUGUGAUUGCUUAAGUUUGCAUUCUAACUCUUUAUAUAGUGUUUUCCAAGCAUAGAUUAUAAGAUUUUUAAUUUUUCAAUUGCAUUAAGACAGCCUGGCUUAAAGUUUUGAAUUAUAUUUUUAUUUCGUGGAUGACGUGUUUACUGUUUUUGUAUAUUUUUUGGUUUUUGUUCAUGUCAUAUUGUAUUUUAAAACUUGAUGCAUUCUGGUCAGAAUUCUUUAAUACACAAAUGGAAUGAAGUAUAACUUGGAAAAGUAAUGCAUCAUUUUAAUUUCCACUGUUUUAUAAGUGAAAAUGUGUUGUAUAUGAUCUAAAUUUGGAUUUAAAUAUUGGUGCAGACAACCAUAUUUCGUAUAAAUAAGCAAAAUUAUGUUUUAUGCUAUAACUUUUGUGCCACUAUUGUCAAUGAAUUAAUAAGCUACUUCAACUUAAUUACUUGUGUUGACGUGACCAUACGGUACUUUUUUGUUUGGUACAUAGAGGAGAUGACAAAACCAUCAUAAACCCACACAUAUAAAGUGGAGGUAUCAGAGUUCGAACCCCGAUCAUAAUAUCCGAUCUAACAAUUUCGACAUUUUAAACAGUUGAGCUAGGACUUGUGACGACCAUAUGGUACUUUAUUUAAUGUGAAAUGGUUAUAUGUAUUGUAGGAAUAUUUCGUUUUGGUUUAAAAAAUUUAAUUGACUUGUUGUAUAUAUAAUUACUGUCUAUCUCAGUCGACCUACCUUCAUAUAAUUUUUUUACGGUUCUUUAAAACAACCAUGAUUUACUCUAAUAUUCUUUGAUUAGUUCCACCAUGAAUAUGUACGACGGUGGAAAAUUUUGAAAUAUUAGUGAUUUUUUGUUUAUUUUGGUAGUGUACUAAUAUUAAUAUAAUUCAUUUUUUUGACCAAACUAGUAAUAUAAUUCUAUUCAAUGUUUAUUUGAUUUAACAAGACAAAAGAAAAGUACGUUAGCAAUGACCUUACUUGUGUAAGAAUCUUUUAAUUAUUUUUUUUUUUGUCUUUCGUACUGGUUUCCGAUCCACCAACGGUGGGCGAUUAAUCCGGCUCGUGUGUAGAGGCGUGUGUAAUGGUCAAGCGUUGUUUCCCCUAAAAAUUGAACUCGGUAUUUCUCAAGUGUAUCUUUGGAAGGAGCUCAAGCAACUUGGUUCAAUUUUUUUUUAAUAUUUAGUUAGUCUCUUAAUUAACUACGAUAUUGUUCAAUAAAUUUUAACUCAAUUAUCAAAAAAUAUCAAAAUUGUAAGGUUGAUGUUGCCAUCAAAGUUCGAACUUUAACUUCUUCAUUUAUGUAUGAGUGAGUUUCCAUUGAUAAUUGUCAAACAAAUUAUUAAGCUUUUGAACUCUUCUAGAAUAAUUAUUAUGCAUUGUCCAUACCAACUGAGCUAAGCUCACAAAGACUGUUUUAUUUUAUUUUUAAUUUUAACGAAAGGGAAUCUUUGAUCUGAAUGUAUUUAAAUAUAAAAAAUCAAAGUGAAUUUAAUUUUAGUGAAAUGGUAGCUAAUUAUUUUAAAAUUUACUACCAUUAUAUUCUGUAGCACAAUUAUGGUAGAAAUUCUUAUUUUCUUGUAGUGCAAGUUAGUUGCAAGUUUUUUCUUGAAAGGAAUUUGUUAUUUUUUUUUUAACUUAAUGAAUGAAAGUUAGUUGCAACAUAUAUAUUAGUCACGGUAUCUCACCUCAUUCUUUUAAUCAUAUUUCUUUGUUUUUGUUUCCCGUUAAAGUAUUCCCAAUAUUUUUAUUUUUUUUAGGGAAUAUUCCCAAUCUUUCUUAAAUAGUAACUAUCAAGUAUCAACAAUUCAACAUGCAUAUUAUAUUCUUUCAAAAAGAAAAAAAAUGGUUAUACAUACUUGUAAGAAAGUACAUAUAUUUUUAGUUUCCUUACUGCUGGCUUCCUAAGACCUGGUAAUGUCUCCUUUCUCACUUGACAAAAAAUUAAUAAUCUAUGAAGCAUAAAUAUGGUCACUAAUGACAGUGGACAUCAAUAAUCAUUUAAAAAAAUAAAUAAAUUAAAUGUAAUUAUAUACGUCAGUUUUUAUUAUAUCAGACACCGAACACAUCUUGAAUGAAGCAAUGUUGCAAACCAUACAUGACAUAAGGCGCUUAAAUGUUAAUCAAAACCAUUUUCAAUGAUCAACGAUAGGGAUAUUAUUACUCAACACCUCUUUAGAAAUCAUUCAAUCAACUUCCAAAGCGUAAUGGUCAUGUCAUGUAAUCAAGUCAGAGGUUGUUACGGUCACCCGUAAUGAGGGGCUACGACAAAAUGAGCUGCAUAACUCUAUGAUUAUUUGUUUUUUUUUUUUUUUAAAGUAACUAAAAUGAUUCUUUUGUAAUGUAAUUUAAUCCAAGUCUUUUGAUGUUAUACUUAGGUUCUCUCUUUGAUUUGACAUAACUUAGCACCAAAUUUAUCUUGUAUUUGCAUUGUUCUUUCAAUAUAGUUUUCUUGUUUUUAUUUCUUGCAUUGUCUUUAUGUUAUUUAAUUAAACUCGUCCUUAUGAUGAGUGAGUAGUUUUUUUAAGUUUUGGGAUUAUGAAAAGUAAUUUUAUGAUAAACUUUUCAUAAUCCUUGUUUUCUUUCUUUUAUUUAGUAUAUGCAUUCACCUAAUUUAUUUUAUUGUUUUGUCAUGUUCGUGUCAUCUCACCGUUUAAACCAAGUUAGUCUCUGUUGUUUGAAUUGGACGAUCUAUUUAUUUGUUUGAACUGAACGACUCAAGUUCCAUAUUGUUUUUCUAUGAUGUUCGAAUUGGAUACCAAUACCAUCACAAACUCAUCUCACAUGAUUAAGUAUAUAAUUAAUUAUGGUGCUGCGUUGUUAUGCUUUAAAAACAAGUGUCCCACAACACAACCAUCACAAACUCAUCUGACAUGAAGAAAUUCAUGAAAGGCAUGUUUAUAGAAAGAAUAAUUUUAGUUCAAAAUGAAAGUAUUUUUUUUCAAAAUUUCAUGAACAUCAUCAAGAUUAGCAACAACAAAUACGAAACUAUAUAUCAGUAUAUGAAAUUUGAUAAAACAGAUUAAAAUACGCUUCUGAAAUAACACUUAUACAAAAUGAUACAACAUGGAGUCCAAAGCAUAGCUUUAUUACAGAGCAGACUUUUAUUACUAAUGAAAACUUUAUUGCAAUACAAACAACACAACAAUGAUCAUAGUAUAACUAUUGGAAGGAGUCAAAAUGCAUAUGUCAUCAAGCUUAAUACACAGGGGGUGGAGGUGAACUAUAUUGGUAGGGCUUAUAUGGUGUAGGUGGGGAUUUGUAAACGUAAGGAGGAGAUUUAUAAACAUAGGGAGCGGGUGGUGGGGAUUUAUAGAUAUAUGGUGGAGACUCAUAAACAUAUGGAGGGGGUAUAGGUUUGUAGUAGUAUGGAGGAGGUGGUGAUGGUGAGGGUGGAGGAGGUGACUCAUAAACAUAAGGUGGUGGUGGAGGGGAUUUGUAGACAUAUUGUGGAGGAGGAGGUGAUUCGUAAACAUAUGGAGGAGGUGGCGGUGACUUGUAGACAUAUGGUGGUGGAGGUGGCGACUUGUAUACAUAUGGUGGGGUGGUGAUGGAGAUGGUGGAGGAGGAGACUUGUAGACAUAUGGAGGUGGGGUGUACACAUAUGGUGGGGGAGGUGGCGACUUGUAGAUAUAUGGAGGAGGUGGUGAUGGUGGAGGAGGAGAUGGGUAAACAUAAGGUGGAGGAGGUGGUGACUUAUACACAUAUGGAGGAGGUGGGGGUGAUUUGUAGAUAUAUGGAGGAGGAGGCGAUGGUGGAGGAGGAGAUGGGUAAACAUAAGGUGGAGGAGGUGGUGAUUUGUAUACGUAUGGAGGAGGUGGUGAUGGUGGAGGAGGAGACGGGUAAACGUAAGGUGGAGGAGGUGGUGACUUGUACACAUAUGGAGGAGGUGGGGGUGACUUGUACACAUAUGGAGGAGGUGGUGAUGGUGGAGGAGGAGACGGGUAAACAUAAGGUGGAGGAGGUGGUGACUUGUACACGUAUGGAGGAGGUGGGGGUGACUUGUACACAUAUGGAGGAGGUGGCGGUGACUUGUAUACAUACGGAGGAGGUGGUGAUGGUGGAGGAGGAGACGGGUAAACGUAAGGUGGAGGAGGUGGUGACUUGUACACGUAUGGAGGAGGUGGGGGUGACUUGUAUACAUAUGGAGGUGGCGGUGAUGGUGGAGGAGGAGACGGGUAAACAUAAGGUGGAGGAGGUGGUGACUUGUACACAUAUGGAGGAGGUGGUGGUGAUUUAUAGACAUAAGGAGGUGGUGGUGAUGGAGAUGGUGGUGGUGGAGAUUUGUAGUAAUAUGGUGGUAAUUUGUAAUCAUAAGGAGGUGGCGGUGACGGGGGUGGAGGUUUAUAGUAAUUAUAUGGAGGGAACUUAUGGUCAUAUGGUGGUGGAGAUUUAUAGUUAUAUGGAGGGAAUUUGUGUUCAUAUGGAGGUGGAGAUUGAUAAUUGUAUGGAGGGAAUUUGUAGGCAAAUGGAGGUGGUGGUGAUGGUGGUGGAGAUUUAUAGUAAUUAUAUGGAGGGAAUUUAUGGUCAUAUGGAGGUGGGGAUUUGUAUUCAUAUAGAGGUGGAGAUUGAUAGUUAUUAUACGACGGUGGUUUGUAAUAGUAAGAUGGUGGCGUUGUUGGUUGUGGAUAGUUGUAGUAUGGUUGUUGGCCUCCAUAGUAAGGCUUAUCAUCAGCGGUAGCAAAAGUACUAAUAGCAAUCAUGCAAAAUGCUAUUGUAUACAUGAGUCGAGGCAAAUUCCUCGGCUCAAUUGAUGUUCCCAUAUUCUCUUAAUGUGUAACCUUAUAUUUCUUCUAUUGUUGUAUAGAAGAUUUGUGUUUUUAUUGCUUUAAGUAUCGACUUGUAACUCUUUAUAUAGUGUUAUCACCUUCACUAUCUAAGGAUUUUUUAAGUUGUAUAUACAAAGUGGCUCAACAUUUUAUUAGAUA
rnacentral:lncRNA from 1 species